rnacentral:rRNA from 1 species
UACGUAGGCAGCAAGCGUUGUUCGGAGUUACUGGGCGUAAAGGGUGCGUAGGCGGUCCUAUAAGUAUGGUGUGAAAUCUCCCGGCUUAACUGGGAGGGUGCGCUAUAGACUGUGGGACUAGAGUGUGGGAGAGAAAAGUGGAAUUCCUGGUGUAGCGGUGAAAUGCGUAGAUAUCAGGAGGAACACCGGUGGUGUAAACGGCUUUCUGGACCAUAACUGACGCUGAGGCACGAAAGCGUGGGUAGCAAACAGG